rnacentral:rRNA from 1 species
UACGGGGGGGGCAGCGUUGUUCGGAAUUACUGGGCGUAAAGGGCUCGUAGGCGGCCAACUAAGUCAGACGUGAAAUCCCCAGGCUCAACCUGGGAACUGCGUCUGAUACUGGAUGGCUUGAAUCCGGGAGAGGGAUGCAGAAUUCCAGGUGUAGCGGUGAAAUGCGUAGAUAUCUGGAGGAAUACCGGUGGCGAAGGCGGCAUCCUGGACCGGCAUUGACGCUGAGGAGCGAAAGCCAGGGGAGCAAACGGG